UCGAGCUCUCCCUCUCCAUGGCGCAAACGCAGAUGCUUAAAACCGGCGCAGUGGCCAUGCAUCCCCUCACGCAAGCUUUUCUCCCGUACACAAUUCGGGUGAACGAUAGGAUCGAUCAUCCCAAGUGGUUCUAGGGCUCUGUGAUCUCUCGCCAUGUCGACGAUGCCGGCGCAGGGCGGCGUGCGGCACCACCGGACGUGCCGGAUGUACUGGUGCUACCAGUGCGGCCGCGCGGUCCGGAUCAUCUCCUACCCGUCCACCGACGUCUUCUGCCCGCGCUGCUUCGGCAGGUUCCUCCACGAGAUCGACCAGCCGCCGCGCCCCGCGCUCCCGCCGCCGCACUUCUUCCCGCAGCCUUACCACCCGCACUACGACGGCCACCCACGCCGCUGGAUCAUUUACGGCGGCGAGACGCCAGGGAGCGCGUUCCGACAGCCUCCACCCGCCGUGCCAGGACGUGCGUUCCGCCAGCCCGCGCCCGCGCCCACGGCGGCGCCGGCGCCGGCACCAACUCGCCGACGCAUGCCGUCCCCUCCGCCGGUGGCGAGGCGGCCGUCUAAUCCCCCGGCCAUCGACCCCGGGGACUACUUCACGGGGACCAACCUGAACAACCUCAUCGAGGAGCUAACCCAGAACGACCGGCCGGGGCCGGCGCCCGCGCCGGCGUCGGCCAUCGACUCCCUCCCGACGGUGCGGAUCACCGGAGCGCACCUCGCCGACGGCUCGCAGUGCCCCGUCUGCAAGGAGGACUUCGAGCUCGGGGAGGCCGCGCGCCAGAUGCCGUGCAAGCACGUCUACCACUCCGACUGCAUCGUGCCGUGGCUCCGCCUCCACAACUCCUGCCCUGUCUGCCGGUACAAGCUGCCAACCGCCGCCGCGGGGUCCAACGGCAACGGCCAGGCUCGCCGCGGGAGCGCCGGCAACAGCGGCGGUGGCGGUGACCGGAACAGGGAGCAGACGAUCGUGAGGUGGGGGCCGUUCUCGUGGCUGUGGCCGCCGCGGGGGCUGGAAGACCCCGACGACGGGUGGGAGUACGGGCGGCGGGGAAGGCCAGAGGCGGCCGACGCCGGCGCAUUCUACGCUUGGUGGCGUUCUCUGUUUCUUUUCUAAAUGUUCAAAUGAAGGUGCCCGCCAAAUUCCAAUCAUGACAAGAGAACGACCUGUUAGGUAGAAUGUGCGACGACCAUGGAAAUUCUGAAAGUUCAGUACGAAAUGGCUGAUGGCUGGUGCUAGGCGUAGAAGAUGCAAAGAAUCUGUUGCAAAAGUUGGCAAAUGCUCCAAAUUGAGCAGACACUGUAAUCAUGUAAUGCUUAAUUCAAUGUUUAAAGUUUAUGAUCAACAGGGAGAAUAACUUUAAACAGUGUUUUCCAACGCCUGUUUGGUGUUUCUCAUCUACAGAGGUUGUAG